rfam:Fukomys damarensis contig143653, whole genome shotgun sequence.
AGGGAUUUAGCUUAGUGGUUCUAGUGCCUGCCUCUCAAGCAGAAGGACCCGAGUUCGAUCCCCAGUACCCCCC